GAAAUCUAUCUUCUCCUUAAAUGAUUAAAAAAUAUUCAAAUUACUUUCCUAAAAUACAAUUUUUUUAGCCUUUCAAUUCUUUUAAUUUUGGAUUUUCCUCUUUCCUUUCUAGUUUCUCAUUUUAUUCUCAAGAAAAUAUCAUAAGAUGAAAUUAUUUUCCUUUCUUUUAUUUCUUUUUCUCUUUCUUCUCUCUUUCAUCCUUCCCAAUAGAUAUAUGCUUUUCUUGACCGAAUGACACUGAUUCAUUAGCAAGGAUGGCCCCUUUUUUUAUUAUUUUUUUAGUGGUUAGAAUAUUAGAGAACUUAGGAAAGGGUAAAUUUUGGUGUUAAUGCUUUUAUCACUUUAACUUUUGAUCCAAUGUUUAAAACACUUUAUUCGAGAUUCAUGCCUAUCUCCAUUUUGAGUUUUAAUUUUAGCAUAUUCUCUCUAGUGUCGCAAACUAUUUCCAAAUAAUUGCACUCUUUAAGAGAUCACAAAAAUUUUUAUCUAAUAAACAAACACCUUAGUUUUUGAGAUUUAAAUUAACAGUACUCUUAAAUGAAAAAAAAAAAAAAAAAAAA
rnacentral:lncRNA from 1 species